CCCAUGCAAGAAAACAACAAAAAUAAUGUAUGUUAAUUUCUUUUUUAUUAUUUUUUUUUCCUUUGAUGACCAAGAAAAGUAGGUUUUGACAUCUAACAGCACAAACUUGACAUCAAGGGAGAAUCUUGCGUCUGCGACGGGGAGUCUCUCGCCUCACAUACAUCUUCUCCGUCUCAUUCAGUGGUCUGCUUGAUCCAUCUGGCAAGCUUAUAAACUUCCAGCCACCACCACCUCCACGCUUCCCUCGUGGUCCCAUUUUCUCCACCAUGAAGCUCCAACCCUCAGAAGGACGCCGCCUACUAUAUUUGUGGCAUUUCACCUGCCCGGCCAUUUUCAUUUUGUUGAAGUUCAUCUUCUGGACAAAUUCUUGAUAGAGCAUCUCAUCCUCUUUCAUGGAUAUCUCAUAGUGGACUUCAUCCAGGUCUUUGAUGGUACCAUCCCAACCCUCUGGCAUUACCUUGAAAUCAGGCUUAUAAGGAAGGGAGGCCACAUGAAAUUCUCGGUCAUGAGAAUUAAAAAAUUCUGGGCAAGUGUCAAGCAAAAGCUCCACAGAGCCAUCCAAGGGAUGGCCAAGUUUUUUCUCCUCUUCCUCCUCAAGUUGCUUCAGCCAAAGAAUGGCAUGCACCCGCUGUCUCAUAAUCCUAUAGUCCUUGGCAAGCCUCUCAACCGUGUAGACUUCAGGAUUCUCCUUGUGCAAGCGGUACAUCUCAGCCUUCUCCGAGUCCUUCAGGUAAGAUCCUCUUGCACCAGGCUCCCUUACUUGCUUCAAGAGCACACUUAUCUCACGCAACCUCUCACCCCACCCAUCCACAAAAGCCUUGCCCUUUCUGUUCUCUGCCUGCAAUUCUUCAAUCUUAUCAUCAAUCUCUUGCAUACUAGAGACCAAAGCAGUCUGAGAAGCAUCCAAUCCACCAGCGACAGUAGAGCUAAAAUCAGUCCUCUGACCCUCAAAGUCUCCAUCAAAAUGAUCCUUAGUCAAUCCAGUCGACCAUGAUGAAAUAGAUUCCCAACCUAGAUCAUCAGAACCACUCCCACCAAAAGAUCCACCCACCCCACUAUCCCAACCACCUUCCCCUUCGUUUCCAUCACCACCCCCAGACUUAGCUGAAAACACUUGUGCUCUAACUUGAAAAGGUGUUGAAACCCUUGUAACAUUUCCAAAAGUGGAUCUACUUGUGCCAAUGCCUAGUGCCCCAGAGGAGAAACGUGAUAGAACCCGAUGAAUAUUUUGCAUAUUUGCAACACUUAAUCCCAAAGAAGCAAAUCAAAACUCUUUGACUAUCUUUGCACAUUCAAUGAGUUUCCUCGAACUUUGGGGAUCAAGAAUGUUUGUUUUCUUCCAAAUACAGGAGACGAUCUAACCAGUGAAAGAUUAGGUGGCUUUUGAAUACAAGGAGAGAAAGAAGUAAGAUCUGUUGUCUUUUUGGCAGAGCAGAAAGGGUGAGAAGCAAGGAGAUAAGGCAGAAAUUAACAGUGAACGGGGAGGGCGUGGCCUGGUGGCGACGGUGAAACUGGAAAUGUUUUGGAGGUGUCGGCUAUGGGAAGCUGAAAGUCGCGGCUUGGGAGUUGGGACUUUAUAGAUCGCCGAGACGCAGUUCGCAUAGCAGUCGGAUGACAAAAUUAGGGGUUUCUCGGGGAGUUUUGAUGGAUUAUUCUUUAAAAAUAAUAGUAAAA
rnacentral:misc_RNA from 1 species